rnacentral:rRNA from 1 species
GACUCGUCACACUAUCAUUAACUGAAUCCAUAGGUUAAUGAGGCGAACCGGGGGAACUGAAACAUCUAAGUACCCCGAGGAAAAGAAAUCAACCGAGAUUCCCCCAGUAGCGGCGAGCGAACGGGGAGGAGCCCAGAGCCUGAAUCAGCAUGUGUGUUAGUGGAAGCGUCUGGAAAGGCGCGCGAUACAGGGUGACAGCCCCGUACACAAAAGCGCAUGUGCUGUGAGCUCGAUGAGUAGGGCGGGACACGUGGUAUCCUGUCUGAAUAUGGGGGGACCAUCCUCCAAGGCUAAAUACUCCUGACUGACCGAUAGUGAACCAGUACCGUGAGGGAAAGGCGAAAAGAACCCCGGCGAGGGGAGUGAAAAAGAACCUGAAACCGUGUACGUACAAGCAGUGGGAGCCCCACCACUAAGCCAGUGGUGAACUCCACAUACGCAUCCUUUGCUGAGGAUACGGUUAACGGAGCGAAAGCGACGUUCAACCUCAAAAGAAGCAGAGGGGGCUUAGUGGUGGGGUGACUGCGUACCUUUUGUAUAAUGGGUCAGCGACUUAUAUUCUGUAGCAAGGUUAACCGAAUAGGGGAGCCGAAGGGAAACCGAGUCUUAACCGGGCGUUAAGUUGCAGGGUAUAGACCCGAAACCCGGUGAUCUAGCCAUGGGCAGGUUGAAGGUUGGGUAACACUAACUGGAGGACCGAACCGACUAAUGUUGAAAAAUUAGCGGAUGACCUGUGGCUGGGGGUGAAAGGCCAAUCAAACCGGGAGAUAGCUGGUUCUCCCCGAAAGCUAUUUAGGUAGCGCCUCGUGAAUUCAUCUCCGGGGGUAGAGCACUGUUUCGGCUAGGGGGCCAUCCCGGCUUACCAACCCGAUGCAAACUGCGAAUACCGGAGAAUGUUAUCACGGGAGACACACGGCGGGUGCUAACGUCCGUCGUGAAGAGGGAAACAACCCAGACCGCCAGCUAAGGUCCCAAAGUCAUGGUUAAGUGGGAAACGAUGUGGGAAGGCCCAGACAGCCAGGAUGUUGGCUUAGAAGCAGCCAUCAUUUAAAGAAAGCGUAAUAGCUCACUGGUCGAGUCGGCCUGCGCGGAAGAUGUAACGGGGCUAAACCAUGCACCGAAGCUGCGGCAGCGACGCUUAUG